rnacentral:rRNA from 1 species
ACGCUGGCGGCGUGCCUAAUACAUGCAAGUCGAGCGAAGUUUUUCUGGUGCUUGCACUAGAAAAACUUAGCGGCGAACGGGUGAGUAACACGUAAAGAACCUGCCUCAUAGACUGGGACAACUAUUGGAAACGAUAGCUAAUACCGGAUAACAGCAUUAACUGCAUGGUUGAUGUUUGAAAGUUGGUUUUGCUAACACUAUGAGAUGGCUUUGCGGUGCAUUAGCUAGUUGGUGGGGUAAAGGCCUACCAAGGCGACGAUGCAUAGCCGACCUGAGAGGGUGAUCGGCCACACUGGGACUGAGACACGGCCCAGACUCCUACGGGAGGCAGCAGUAGGGAAUCUUCCGCAAUGGGCGAAAGCCUGACGGAGCAACGCCGCGUGAGUGAAGAAGGAUUUCGGUUCGUAAAGCUCUGUUGUUAGGGAAGAAUGAUUGUGUAGUAACUAUACACAGUAGAGACGGUACCUAACCAGAAAGCCACGGCUAACUACGUGCCAGCAGCCGCGGUAAUACGUAGGUGGCAAGCGUUGUCCGGAAUUAUUGGGCGUAAAGCGCGCGCAGGUGGUUUAAUAAGUCUGAUGUGAAAGCCCACGGCUCAACCGUGGAGGGUCAUUGGAAACUGUUAAACUUGAGUGCAGGAGAGAAAAGUGGAAUUCCUAGUGUAGCGGUGAAAUGCGUAGAGAUUAGGAGGAACACCAGUGGCGAAGGCGGCUUUUUGGCCUGUAACUGACACUGAGGCGCGAAAGCGUGGGGAGCAAACAGGAUUAGAUACCCUGGUAGUCCACGCCGUAAACGAUGAGUGCUAAGUGUUGGUCUCAUAAGAGAUCAGUGCUGCUGCUAACGCAUUAAGCACUCCGCCUGGGGAGUACGACCGCAAGGUUGAAACUCAAAGGAAUUGACGGGGACCCGC